UAACCAAAUGGUCACAUUUUACUGCAUGACAAUAUGACACUAUUGAUCACUUUGAUUGUAGUUUGAUUGACAAAUAAUCAAAUUGUCACAAACUGCCUAUAAAUGUUAAUUAGAUCAUGUUGGUUAGUAGUGUUUUUCAGCUCUUUUACAUCCUUCCUUAUUUUCUAUCUACCUGCUUUAUCUAUUAUUGAAAUCUCCAACUUUAUGGAUUUGUCUAUGUCUGCUUACAGUUCUAUCCAUUUUUGCUUCAUGUCUUUUGAAGCUCUAUUAUCAGGCGCAUACGUGUUUGAGAGUCUUCUGACCUCCUGAUAAACACUGUGAAAUGGCCUCUUUACUCCUGAUCAUAUUCUUUGCUCUGAAUUCUGCUUUGUCUGGUGUGAAGGUGGAGGGAGAAUGAUCACAGAUGGAAAAAAGAGCUCCGGAAAUGGUAAGUAUAUGGAUACACAAUGAGGCUGUUCUUCCAAUUGAAUGAAAUGUCUCUGAAAGAUAACUGGACUGUUUAAUCAAACUGUUUGGCAAUAAUAGCAAAA
ensembl:lncRNA novel transcript, antisense to LMF1